rnacentral:rRNA from 1 species
UACGGAGGGUGCGAGCGUUGUUCGGAAUCACUGGGCGUAAAGGGCGUGUAGGCGGUCCGUUAAGUCUGAUGUGAAAGCCCGGGGCUCACCCCCGGAAGGGCAUUGGAAACUGGCGGACUCGAGUCCCGGAGAGGAGAGUGGAAUUCCUGGUGUAGCGGUGAAAUGCGCAGAUAUCAGGAGGAACACCGGUGGCGAAGGCGGGUCUCUGGGCCGAUACUGACGCUGAGGAGCGAAAGCGUGGGGAGCGAACAGG